rnacentral:rRNA from 1 species
GAUGAACGCUGGCGGCGUGCCUAAUACAUGCAAGUCGAGCGAACGGACGAGAAGCUUGCGUCUCUGAUGUUAGCGGCGGACGGGUGAGUAACACGUGGAUAACCUACCUAUAAUACUGGGAUAACUUCGGGAAACCGGAGCUAAUACCGGAUGAUAUUUUGAACCGCAUGGUUCAAAAGUGAAAGACGGUCUUGCUGUCACUUAUAGAUGGAUCCGCGCUGCAUUAGCUAGUUGGUAAGGUAACGGCUUACCAAGGCAACGAUGCAUAGCCGACCUGAGAGGGUGAUCGGCCACACUGGAACUGAGACACGGUCCAGACUCCUACGGGAGGCAGCAGUAGGGAAUCUUCCGCAAUGGGCGAAAGCCUGACGGAGCAACGCCGCGUGAGUGAUGAAGGUCUUCGGAUCGUAAAACUCUGUUAUUAGGGAAGAACAUAUGUGUAAGUAACUGUGCACAUCUUGACGGUACCUAAUCAGAAAGCCACGGCUAACUACGUG